UUGGCCAUUGCGGCGCUGGGAGCCAAAGCUGCUGAAGGCUAGGGUUUUCAGAUUUUAGUCUUUAGGGCUUAGGUGUUGAUUUUCUCUGUUUUGGGCUGCGAGUAUUUGGGCUUGGUUUUUGGGUUUAGGCUAGCUAGGUUUGGGUUAAAGCUGUUUAGGCUAAUCGGGUUUGAGUUAAAGCUGUUUUUUUUUUGGAUAGUGGAUUUGGGCCAUUAGGCCUGCUGUAAUGGACUGUGGACAUUUUAAGAUUUUGGGUUUUUUUAUUAUUUAUUUCUAAUUUAGGCCGGGUAAAUUUGGGUUAUUACAAUUAGCAUAAUAAUUUUAUUUUAAAUUAAUUUAAUAAUAUUAAUAUAUACUGAAUUUUACCUUGUUA
rnacentral:lncRNA from 1 species